UCACUCAUCAUAACCAUCGUGUACCAUUCAGAAGAAGAAAAAAAGAAGAAACAAGAAACCCUUCCUUUGUGCCUCAUCUUCUCCAUUUCAUCGUUUUCAGUUCACCGCUUCAUCUUCUUUUCAUCUUUCCAUUUCUAUUACACCAUCUCAAUCAUUCACUAUUCACCUUGUUCUUUCAAAACCCUAAAAUCCCUCUCAGAUUUUCAAUCGAUUCCAAAACCCCUAAAAUUCGUCGGAUUUUCAAUUGAAUCAAAAACCCCUAAAAUUUAUAACGCCUUUCAAUUGUUCAAUCAAUCACUGUGAAACACUCCAAAUCUUUCUGAAUCUCUAUUUUUAAGAUCUAAACCCUGAGCAAGAAAGUUUUUAAGAAACCCACUUCAAAUCGCACAACAUUCUGGUGCGUGUUCUGUACCUGGGUUUUUUUCUCUUCAAGAUUGCAAGUGGUAAAGACUGAUUCUCCUAAUCAACGCCUUCCAGUUCCAACUAUUUUGAGGAAAGAGAGAUUUCCCUUAGAUAUCUAGUGCAAAGAAGGAUUAUUCGACUCACAACAAAUUGAAGAACGCUUUUUAGUCAAGUGAAUAUCUUCAUUGGAAGUCUAGUGCAAAGAAAAGCAAUUUAAGUCAACAAAUUAAAGAACGCUUUCUAGUCAAGAUAAAU